rnacentral:rRNA from 1 species
GACAGAGGUGCCAAGCGUUAGGCGGAAUCACUGGGCUUAAAGCGUGUGUAGGCGGAAUUGUAAGUACCUUGUGAAAUCCCACGGCUCAACCGUGGAACUGCUCGGUAUACUGCUUUUCUUGAGCCACUUAGGGGCUACCGGAACAAAUGGUGGAGCGGUGAAAUGCGUAGAUAUCAUUUGGAACGCCAAUGGUGAAAACAGGUAGCUGGGAGUGUGCUGACGCUGAGACACGAAAGCCAGGGGAGCGAACGGG